GUUCCGGUGGCCUAAGUGGUUAAAGCAUCCGACUCGGAUGUGGGAGGUCGUGGGUUCGAAACCAGGUUGAAUCA